CUGGAAAUGAUGCAUAACGCGAGCUCUGAGUGUUAGUGAUGCUUUUGUAUUCAUACUGUCUGAUCCAG